rnacentral:rRNA from 1 species
UACACUCCUACGGGAGGCAGCAGUGGGGAAUAUUGGACAAUGGGCGCAAGCCUGAUCCAGCCAUGCCGCGUGAGUGAUGAAGGCCCUAGGGUUGUAAAGCUCUUUCACCGGUGAAGAUAAUGACGGUAACCGGAGAAGAAGCCCCGGCUAACUUCGUGCCAGCAGCCGCGGUAAUACGAAGGGGGCUAGCGUUGUUCGGAUUUACUGGGCGUAAAGCGCACGUAGGCGGACUAUUAAGUCAGGGGUGAAAUCCCGGGGCUCAACCCCGGAACUGCCUUUGAUACUGGUAGUCUUGAGUUCGAGAGAGGUGAGUGGAAUUCCGAGUGUAGAGGUGAAAUUCGUAGAUAUUCGGAGGAAUACCAGUGGCGAAGGCGGCUCACUGGCUCGAUACUGACGCUGAGGUGCGAAAGCGUGGGGAGCAAACAGGAUUAGAAACCCGAGUAGUCCCAUGAU